GAUGAACGCUGGCGGCGUGCUUAACACAUGCAAGUCGAGCGAGUGAGUUCUUCGGAACGAUCUAGCGGCGGACGGGUGAGUAACACGUGGGCAACCUGCCUCAUAGAGGGGAAUAGCCUCCCGAAAGGGAGAUUAAUACCGCAUAAAAUUAUCGAGUGGCAUCACAUGAUAAUCAAAGGAGUAAUCCGCUAUGAGAUGGGCCCGCGGCGCAUUAGCUAGUUGGUGAGGUAACGGCUCACCAAGGCGACUAUGCGUAGCCGACCUGAGAGGGUGAUCGGCACAUUGGGACUGAGACACGGCCCAGACUCCUACGGGAGGCAGCAGUGGGGAAUAUUGCACAAUGGGGGAAACCCUGAUGCAGCGACGCCGCGUGAGGGAUGACGGCCUUCGGGUUGUAAACCUCUUUCAGCAUCGACGAAGCGCAAGUGACGGUAGGUGCAGAAGAAGGACCGGCCAACUACGUGCCAGCAGCCGCGGUAA
rnacentral:rRNA from 1 species